rnacentral:rRNA from 1 species
GUGGAUUAGAUACCCCAGUAGUCCACGCCGUAAACUAUGAGAGCUAGCCGUUGGAGAGUUUACUCUUCAGUGGCGCAGCUAACGCAUUAAGCUCUCCGCCUGGGGAGUACGGUCGCAAGAUUAAAACUCAAAGGAAUUGACGGGGGCCCGCACAAGCAGUGGAGCAUGUGGUUUAAUUCGAAGCAACGCGAAGAACCUUACCAGCCCUUGACAUGGUCGGACGGUUUCCAGAGAUGGAUUCCUUCACUUCGGUGACUGACACACAGGUGCUGCACGGCCGUCGACAGCU